UCAAGCUGGAAAGAGCGCAAGGGGAAUGCCUUGGCAUCAGGAGCCGAAGAAGGACGUGACAAGCUGCGAAAAGCCUCGGGGAGGAGCAAAUAUCCAUUGAUCCGGGGAUAUCCGAAUGGGGCAACCCGGCUGGACAAUAUCCAGUCAUCCUGCGUUGAACAAAAUAGGCGUAGGAAGGGAACCGCCUGAACUGAAACAUCUAAGUAGGGCGAGGAAGAGACAUCAACCGAGAUUCCGCAAGUAGUGGCGAGCGAACGCGGAAGAGGCCAAACCGAGGGAUUUAUUCCUCGGGGUUGCGGACAGUCAUUUAGCGGAAGUUAUCUAGGAGAAGGGUCUGGGAAGGCCCGCCACAGAGGGUGAGAGCCCCGUAUCCGAAAGAGAAGGCCGUGCGACUGAAUCCAGAGUACCGCGGGACACGUGAAACCCCGUGGGAAACAGGGGGGACCACCCUCCAAGCCUAAAUACUACCUGAUGACCGAUAGAGGAGCAGUACCGUGAGGGAAAGGUGAAAAGGACCCCGGGAGGGGAGUGAAAGAGAACCUGAAACCUUGUGCUUACAAGCUGUCAAAGCACGUUAAAGUGUGAUGGCGUACUUUUUGUAGAACGGUCCGGCGAGUUAUAGUAACGAGCGAGCUUAAGGCAUUCAGUGCCGGAGGCGAAGCGAGAGCGAGUCUGAAUAGGGCGUAAAGUUCGUUGCCAUAGACCCGAAACCGGGUGACCUACCCAUGAGCAGGUUGAAGUGGGGGUGAAACCCCAUGGAGGACCGAACCGACCCCCGUUGCAAUGGUGGCGGAUGACUUGUGGGUAGCGGUGAAAUUCCAAUCGAACUCGGAGAUAGCUGGUUCUCCCCGAAAUAGCUUUAGGGCUAGCGUUGGCUUAGAUUACCGGAGGUAAAGCACUGAAUGGGCUAGGGGCCGAUAAGGUUACUGAACCCUAUCAAACUCUGAAUGCCGGAUAAUUGAUGGCCAGCAGUCAGUCUACGUGAGAUAAGUCUCGUGGACAAAAGGGAAACAGCCCAGACCCACAGCUAAGGUCCCAAAGAUACGCUAAGUGGAAAACGAUGUGGAGUUGCGAAAACAACCAGGAUGUUGGCUUAGAAGCAGCCACUCAUUAAAAGAGUGCGUAAUAGCUCACUGGUCGAGUGACUCUGCGCGGAAAAUAUAACGGGGCUAAGCGUAACACCGAAGCUUGGGCUGCACAGCAAUGUGCGGGGUAGGGGAGCGUCGAAUAUGGGGUGAAGUCGCAGCGGAAGCAGCGGUGGACUGUAUUCGAGUGAGAAUGCCGGAAUGAGUAGCGAGAAUUAUGUGGGAAUCAUAAUGGCCGAAAAUCUAAGGUUUCCUGGGGAAGGUUCGUCCGCCCAGGGUAAGCCGGGAGCUAAGGCGAGGCCGAAAGGCGUAGUCGAUGCACAUACGGUUGAAAUUCCGUAGCCACCGAACCUUAAGUACACUGACACAUAGAGAUAGCGGGACCCGGGCGUUGGUUGACCCGGGCGUAAGGGACCGAACUUUAGUAGGGAAGUCCGCGAUGCUCUGUGGCGAGAAAAGGUGUAUGGUAUGCUAAGGUGCCCGUACCGCAAACCGACACAGGUAGAUGAGGAGAGAAUCCUAAGGCCAACGGGAGAAGGGUUGUUAAGGAACUCGGCAAGUUGACCCCGUAACUUCGGAAUAAGGGGAGCCUCGAAAGAGGCCGCAGUGAAAAGGCCCAAGCAACUGUUUACCAAAAACACAGGUCUAUGCUAAAUCGAAAGAUGACGUAUAUGGGCUGACGCCUGCCCGGUGCCGGAAGGUUAAGAGGAGAUGUCAGCGCAAGCGAAGCAUUGAAUUGAAGCCCCGGUAAACGGCGGCCGUAACUAUAACGGUCCUAAGGUAGCGAAAUUCCUUGUCGGGU
rnacentral:rRNA from 1 species